rnacentral:rRNA from 1 species
UCUGGCGGCUGUAGCGCGGUGGUCCCACCUGACCCCAUGCCGAACUCAGAAGUGAAACGCCGUAGCGCCGAUGGUAGAGUGGGGUCUCCCCAUGCGAGAGUAGGGAACUGCCAGAC